AUGUAUGCGGUGAGCGUUUACGUGACCCGGAGAGUGAAGGAGGUGAAAAGCCAAUUAAUGGAGGGCGACAUUGCUGAAAUUGAUCACCAAACAGUAAAUUCUGCACGUUCUGCGCCCUACUUUUAUGGAUUACAUACUCAUCAAUGUGCCGGCCCAAGGCGGACUCAGAACGUGACAGAUCUCCGCGAUGCGGCUCCAGGCAGCACCCUGUGUUCAAAAAUCAUGAUGAAAUCAUGGCCUAAAAUGGAUUGGAGGAAGUUAGCUGAGAAUGUCUGGCAAACGGCACUACUCAUGAGAAGGAGCUAUCAUCCAUUUGAUUUGGACAGUGUUGAACCAUUGCCGGUGGACCAUCACCCUGAACUUGAAAUGUUCGGAGCAGACAUUGCUGAAAUGAUGCGUGACGACGUUCUGGAUGAGCUUGUGGCCGAACUCGUGUGUCAUAUCAACUGA
rnacentral:rRNA from 1 species